rnacentral:rRNA from 1 species
UAGGGAAUCUUCGGCAAUGGGGGGAACCCUGACCGAGCAACGCCGCGUGAGUGAAGAAGGUUUUCGGAUCGUAAAGCUCUGUUGUUAAGGAAGAACGAGUGUGAGAAUGGAAAGUUCAUGCUGUGACGGUACUUAACCAGAAAGGGACGGCUAACUACGUGCCAGCAGCCGCGGUAAUACGUAGGUCCCGAGCGUUGUCCGGAUUUAUUGGGCGUAAAGCGAGCGCAGGCGGUUAGAAAAGUCUGAAGUGAAAGGCAGUGGCUCAACCAUUGUAGGCUUUAGAAACUGUUUAACUUGAGUGCAGAAGGGGAGAGUGGAAUUCCGUGUGUAGCGGUGAAAUGCGUAGAUAUAUGGAGGAACACCGGUGGCGAAAGCGGCUCUCUGGUCUGUAACUGACGCUGAGGCUCGAAAGCGUGGGGAGCGAACAGG